UCGCCUCCGCCGCCCGCCCUGACCGUACUGGGGCUCACCGGCCCCUCUGGGCUAGCGGGGCUGGUCGUGGUACCGAUGACCUUUCUUUCCGAGAGCAGAUACCAUCACUUGGGGGACAUCUCCAGGCUGACAUAGCAGAGUGGAAAUUGUCGUCACGCGUGACUCUUUGGGAAUGAGUUGUAGAAAAAUCGGAAAUGAGGAAAACCAAGCUGAGGCUGAGGCUGGAGGCGGAGAAAAAGGGGACUCCCUGCUGCUGAAAGGAUUUCAUAAUGCUAACUCUGAUAUCAUCAGAGGAAGAACAUAAUUGCAAUAUGAUAAGUUCAUUGAGUUUACAUAACAAUUCAUCAAAUGGAGGCUCUGUCUUCCUGGAGGAGUAUCGUUUAUGCUAGGUUGGUGUUUCCCAAAUUAGCCUGAUUUUAAUAAUCACUAAGGAUAAAUGCUAAAAAACACAAAUUUUGAGGCCCCUCCAAUAGAAGACCAGUCAUACUUUGGAUGGCAAUGAAAUAACCAAUGAAAAGAAUUUUAAUGAGUUUCAUCUGUGUCUUUUCACAUUGUAUAUUUUAUUUUUAUUCCCUAGAUAUACCUGCUUUUGGAGAGAUAACCUGUAUAUUUUAUUAUCAAUCCUGGAUGAUUACUUUCUUGGAUAAUCAUUACAGUUUUAGUGUAGUGAUUGAAAGGCUUAUCAA